rnacentral:rRNA from 1 species
AGUGAACGCUGGCGGUAGGCCUAACACAUGCAAGUCGAACGGCAGCACAGAGGAGCUUGCUCCUUGGGUGGCGAGUGGCGGACGGUUGAGGAAUACAUCGGAAUCUACUCUGUCGUGGGGGAUAACGUAGGGAAACUUACGCUAAUACCGCAUACGACCUACGGGUGAAAGCAGGGGACCUUCGGGCCUUGCGCGAUUGAAUGAGCCGAUGUCGGAUUAGCUAGUUGGCGGGGUAAAGGCCCACCAAGGCGACGAUCCGUAGCUGGUCUGAGAGGAUGAUCAGCCACACUGGAAAUGCGACACGGUCCAGACUCCUACGGGAGGCAGCAGUGGGGAAUAUUGGACAAUGGGCGCAAGCCUGAUCCAGCCAUACCGCGUGGGUGAAGAAGGCCUUCGGGUUGUAAAGCCCUUUUGUUGGGAAAGAAAUCCAGCUGGCUAAUACCCGGUUGGGAUGACGGUACCCAAAGAAUAAGCACCGGCUAACUUCGUGCCAGCAGCCGCAGUAA